GCCAAGCGACACGCAUACCGUACAAUACGCAUAUUGAUGCGUUACUUAUUGUCUCCGUCGCGAGUGACUAAAGUAUUUUAUCGAUUGUUGAAAUAAUCGGGCUCUCGUUGGCAUCGCGCUAAUUAAUGUGCGUUAUUUACGCUAAAGUUAUUACGUUAAAGCUCGUCUACGAGAUGCGGAGUAAGCUUGACACAAGCCGUCAGUGUCAGUGCUAGUGCUAUGAAGGAGUAUUCGGAGUACCACGAUGGAGCAACCCGAAGUCAGGAUGCUGGAUUGGGAAACCAGGAUGCAGGACGCGGCCAGCGAUACGCCGUAUAUUUCCAGAUUGGUCGAUCGAGAUAUGUCGGACAGGCCCAUGGAACACUGUCCAGGAGACCGGGCUCGCUCACGGCCCCCACACUAGAUAAUUUUUCGGGGAUUGUUAAAAGUCACUUCGGAGCCGCCUCCCCGAGGAACAGGCCGAGGACAGGCCACGUCUGGAGCCUGGGAAACAUUUUCGGCGUCCUUUUCUCCCUCGCUGCUCCUCUGCGUCGCUCAACUUGAGGAAAGUAGGAAAGAGGCCGACCUACCCCGGCGGAAAAUUAAAGGGCGCAUUAGAUCGCGUGGUCCGUCACUGUGGACCGAAAAUGUGUGUGUGUAAGAGAGAGAGAGAGAGAGAGAGAGAGAGAUACGUUAUAUACGUAAUACGUAAGAUACACGGAUGCGCAUACGUACUGGCGCGAGCUAUACACGCUUCCUUUGAAACUUCGAACUUCCUAUCGCGACCACCACUUCUCUUUGUAGACGGAUGAACGUCUCGGAUCCAGGAUAAUGCGAGACUCUCCGCCACGUUCAUCUCUUUCCUUUCUAUCCCCCUCUAUAUCUCUUUCUCUUUUCUCUCGAUUCCCUCGUCCUCUCUUUCUCCUUCGCUCCCAUUCUCUUUCUCUUUUUCUCUCUCUCCCUCUUCCUCUCUCUCGUCUCUUGUCAUCCGCCUGUCCCUAUUCCGUUCCUUACCCCGUUCGCCUGGCCGCAGGAUCGAGAUCCUCAGACGAAUAGUCCCGGCGUGGAAAGAUCCGCGUCGCGGAUAUCGAUCCCACACAGUAGAAUGAGGGGGUUUUAGCCGCGGAAUAAUUAAUGUGAGAGAGCAGGUACUCCUGUGUGCUCCUCCGCACACUGCUUUCUCCGCGAUUCAACGCUACGUGUUUACGGCGAGUUCGAGGGACGACGAGCGCGCAUCGCUCCCAGUAAGAUCAGUCCGUAAAUGUGGUCGCGAUCGAUGCAUUUAGCACCGUCGCGUCGCGUCCCGACGCGCAACGACGCUUUUUUAAUCACGGCACCAUCGCGCCCGUAAUGAGGUGGCAACGCGCGCGCGAGAACUAAAGCGAAAGCGAAACGGUUUCGGGCGAUAUUAAUUUGACGGCCUUAGAAAGUACCUGAAUUUAUCAACAUGUCGCAUUAUUUACUUGUAUCCGUGUUUUUCACACUCAUCUCACGCUCGUGUCUCAAUGGACGUAGGAAGUACGUCGGUAGUUCUAGCAAUGGUUUAAUUGCAAUCUCAGAGUAAUUGAACGCAAUGAACGCACGAAUAGACUUAUUAAUGCGUAUUAUAGCAAAAGUCCUAGUGUCCAUGAAACUUCUCGCAAUCGGUAAAAGUAACUUGAAACUAUUUGUCAUGCGCGACAAAAUUUUGCGCCAACGUAAUGAAUGCGGCAACGAUCAGCAACGAGAAUUUGGCGUUGCCCCAAACAACAUUAAUACGUUUGGAAAUUACCGCGGAUAAUUUAAACGCUUGGUUAGCAUUAAUCGCGUCGGCACCGUGAAAGCCGCACGUUAAGACUUUGUUACAAAACUUUUUUACCAUUCACGUUGACGUAUAUGUGUAUGUAUAUGUAUAUAUAAAAUCACGAUAUAUUUGUCAAAUUUCCAAAUCGACGUGAAACAUCAAAAGAGUUUCACGUUAUUUGGGAAUUAAUUAUUAAUUAACGAUACAUCAGUUGAUAUACGAGAUAACUGCAGAGAAAUACAAGUGUAUAUAACAAAGUAUUAGUCACUUCAGCUGAAAAUUCGAUAAAAACGUCAGUUCAACGGACGUUUGACACUUUUUCCCCUACAUACAACCCGCACGCGGGUCCUCUUCUACCGGAUGCAGGACCGUUGACUCUCGCUCGUCUGUUGGAACGCGCCGGAAAAUCGUGUUCGCCGCGUUCUCGCGCCGAAGGAAGGGUUGCGUUUUGGAAAAAGCGUGCCUUUCUCCCUCCACCCGCCGCGGCGGAGGUGCCCGCCAGACAAGAAGCCAGUCUCUCUCUCUCUUUCUUCCUCUCUCUCUCUCUCUCUCUCUCUCUCUCUCCUCGUGGAUAUCUACACGUCGCGACGAGGACGGCUACGUCGAGGCAUCGGAGUGUCGGUGAGCGAGAGGAAAGCUGGGAGGGAGAGAAGCGGAUCGGAGAGCCCGACGAUGGACGAGGAGAGACGAGCACGUGGAUUUGUGUAAGUGACUCCGUAUGUGUACAUACGUUCUACAGAGCGAGCGCGCGAGUGGGAGGGAGAAAGAGAACCGGAGCAAAGAGCGGGGCACGGGAGGGUGUAGGAAAGCAGCGCGGCGAAGGGAGAGAAGGCAA